UNNNNGGGGACGUUCGGCAUGCAAGUCGUGCGAGAAGCUUUCCUUCGGGAAGGUGGACAGCGGCGCAAGGGAGAGUAACGCGUAGAUACCUACCCCCGGGCCUGGGAUAGCGGCGGGAAACUGCCGGUAAUACCGGAUAAUGUCUCCGGACCAAAGGUGUGAUUCCGCCUGGGGAUGGGUCUGCGUCCUAUUAGCUUGUUGGUGGGGUAACGGCCUACCAAGGCCAAGAUGGGUACCGGGUGUGAGAGCAUGACCCGGCUCACUGGGACUGAGACACUGCCCAGACACCUACGGGUGGCUGCAGUCGAGAAUCUUCCGCAAUGGGCGCAAGCCUGACGGAGCGACGCCGCGUGCGGGAUGAAGGCCUUCGGGUUGUAAACCGCUGUCAGUGGGGAGGAAAUGCAUGAGGGUUCUCUCUCAUGUUUGACCGAUCCGCAGAGGAAGUGCAGGCUAAGUUCGUGCCAGCAGCCGCGGUAACACGAACUGCACAAACGUUAUUCGGAAUCACUGGGCUUAAAGAGUUCGUAGGCGGCCAAGUCAGUCGGGUGUGAAAUCCCUCGGCUCAACCGAGGAACUGCGCCCGAUACUGCUUAGCUUGAGGAAGUCAGAGGUGAGCGGAACUGAUGGUGGAGCGGUGAAAUGCGUUGAUAUCAUCAGGAACACCGGUGGCGAAGGCGGCUCACUGGGGCUUUUCUGACGCUGAGGAACGAAAGCUAGGGGGAGCGAACGG
rnacentral:rRNA from 1 species